rnacentral:tRNA from 1 species
GCUAUAAAAGGAUUUUGAAAAUCUUUAAAGGAAACUUUUUCCACUUAGUG